AGCGAACGCUGGCGGCAUGCUUAACACAUGCAAGUCUCACGGGCAGCAAUGUCAGUGGCGGACGGGUGAGUAACGCGUAGGAAUCUAUCUCUGGGUGGGGGAUAACUGUGGGAAACUACAGCUAAUACCGCAUGACACCUGAGGGUCAAAGGCGCAAGUCGCCUGGAGAGGAGUCUGCGUACGAUUAGCUAGUUGGUGGGGUAAUGGCCUACCAAGGCUGCGAUCGUUAGCUGGUCUGAGAGGAUGAUCAGCCACAUUGGGACUGAGACACGGCCCAAACUCCUACGGGAGGCAGCAGUGGGGAAUAUUGGACAAUGGGCGCAAGCCUGAUCCAGCAAUGCCGCGUGUGUGAAGAAGGUUUUCGGAUUGUAAAGCACUUUCGGCGGGGACGAUGAUGACGGUACCCGCAGAAGAAGCCCCGGCUAACUUCGUGCCAGCCGCCGCCGUAAAAC
rnacentral:rRNA from 1 species